rfam:Cucumis sativus cultivar 9930 chromosome 2, whole genome shotgun sequence.
AACUUACGAAUGGUAGAAUGCUCUAGUUUACGAACUUGGAGCAUUGUGAUUAACCACUUUGUAUAGGAAGAUCUGAUGC